rnacentral:lncRNA from 1 species
UCCUGAUGCCUAGGCUUUAGCCAGACCAAUUACAGCAGAAUUUUGGGAGAUGGGUGGAAAGGUCACGCAUGUAGUUGUUAAAAAACAAGUACAUUAAAAUAUCAUAAGAUGGCCAGGCACAGUGAACUGCAAAUGGCUGGAGAAAAAAGAACCUCUGAGCUUGAGGAUAUGUCAACAGAAACUUUGAAAACUGAAAGUGAAGAGAAAAAAGACAUGAAAAAAAUGAGAAAGAAUAUCUAAUUACAAAAAGUAUAAUAUAGGCAUAAUGAGAAUACCUGAAGAAGAAAGAGAGAAAGAUUCAAGCUGCAGAAAAUUAAAGAUGAAGAAAAAAUUUUGAAAGAAGCCAGAGGAAAAAAGCCACUUACCUAUAGGGGAGCAAAAAUAAGAAUUAUAUCCAACUUCUUCUCAGAAAUCACGUAAGCAAGAAAAUAAUGGAGUGGAAUACUUAGUGUUGAAAGAGAAAAAGCCAAAAACCUAGGAUUCUAUACACAGUUUUAAAGCAAUCAGAUUAAAAUAAAUAAUAAAAAUUAUAUCAGCAAUCAAUGAAUUGAAAACAGGAAAUCAAUAGUGAAAAUCAACAUAACCAAAACCUGUUUCUUUGUAAAAAUCAGUAAAAUCAUAAGGUUCUAGCAAAGCUAACUAAGAAAAAAAGAGAAAAGACAUGAAUUACAAAUACUGAAAAUGAAAGAGAGGAGAUCAAUUCAAAUCCCAUGGAUGUUAAAAGAAUAAUACAUGAAUAUUAUGAACAACUCUAUGCCCACAGAUUUGACAACCCAGAUGAAAUGGACCAAUUCCUUGAAAGACACAAUCUGUUAAAACUCACACAAGAAGUAGACAAUCUGAAACAGGCUUGCAUCUGUUAAAGAAACAGAAUCAAUAAAUAAUAAACUCCUCAAACAAAAAGUACUAGGCUCAGAUGGAUCCACUAGUGAAUUCUACCAAACAUUUAAGAAAAAAAUUAUACCAAUUUUCUAAACAUCUUCCAGAAGAUAGAAACAGCUCAUUCUAUGAGGCCAGUAUUACCCUAAUAUUAAAACCAGACAAAUACAUUACAAGAAAACUACAAAUCGAUUUGUCAAUUUAAAAUAAAUAAAUAAAUUUAAAAGAAAACUACAGACAAGUAUCUCUCAUGAAAAUA